rnacentral:rRNA from 1 species
AAAAGAUAUAAUAUUUUAAUUCCCGAAACAAAAAGAUCUAAUUGUAAAUGUUACUUAUAGAGUUAUAAUUUUCUCUGUAGCAUUAGAGUAAGUCAACAUUCAUUUAGGGGUGAAACGCCCUCACUUUUUGUGAUAUCUGGAUAAAAAUUAAAUAUAUUUAGUUUAUAAUAUAAUUACAAAGUGAUAAGAUUUUGUAAAAGUAAUUAUCUAAGCGUAUUACAGAUUUUUCUUUAUUUAAUAUUUAAUGAAAAACAUGUAUUAUUAAUAAGCCUUUAAACUCACUAUUAUAAUGUAAUUUUUUAUUUUAUUUAAUGAAAAUCAAAAUAAAUAAUGUACAAAUAAGUAUUUAUAUAAAAUUACAUUAAGGAACUCGGCAAAAAUAUAUGCGACUGUUUAACAAAAACAUAGCUAAUAGGAUAUUAAUUAUUAGUAAUACCUGCCCAGCGAAAGUUUUUAGCGGCCGCAGUACUCUGACUGUGCAAAGGUAGCAUAAUCAUUUGGCUUUUAAUUGGAGUCUUGUAUGAACGGAUAAACGUAUAUAAGCUGUCUAAAAGUAAAUCUAUAAAAAUUAAUUAGAGGGUGAAAAUACCCUCAUAAUAAAUAAAAGACGAGAAGACCCUUAGAAUUUUUAGGAAAAAUAAUACUAAUUAUUUGGUUUUUUGUUGGGGCAACAAUUUUUCAUUAACAAAUAAAAAAUAUAAUAUAAAACAUAACGAAUUUUAUUAACUAAGAAUAAAUUACCUAAGGGAUAACAGCAUAAUUAUAUUAUUAGAUUGUGACCUCGAUGUUGGAUUAGGGAUUACUAAGGCUAGCGGUUUUAGUAAAAUUAGUUCUGUUCGAACAUUGCUCCCUA